UGAAGGCCACAUUUUAAGGCCAAAGGCUGUCUUAAUUCAAAGGCUGCUUGAAAUACGGCCCUCAAAUGCGUCCUUCAUUUCCCUGAAUUUUAAGGAUGGAUCAGUGUAGCCUUCAUGGCCCAACAUAUCCCAGACUUCAUAGCGCGGCGGUGGUGUGGAUAAUUUUGCCGUUUUUGAGAAGGGUCUGGCUGCAGCCACUGGGGAGCGCCAUAUUGGGACCUCCACACUAACUGGAAACACGUGACCUCCACAGUAGCCGGAAACACGUGACCUCCACAGUAACCGGAAACACGUGACCUCCACAAUCGGCAGAAAUACGUUCCUGCGUGCAUCAUCGACUGUGGAAACCUUGCAAGUGGAUCGUAAAGGUUGGGACAGAGUUUUUCAUGUAUAAAUUUGCCGUUAAUAAUUGUAUAAUUCUAGGAAUCAUCUAGUUUGCUUACACUGAUUAUGUUGGCACUUUGUUAGCGUUACAACAACUGUCAUACCCCCGAGGUAUCUAAACUUUAGUAAUGUGUGCACUUUUGACACAUCUGGUUAGCAUUUAGUGGUCAGUUUCAAACGUAUUUGAUUUUUGCUUGUUAUGAACAAAUUCACUUCACUGCUUUUCACUGUCAGUAACAUCGAUGCACAUUGUUCCAUUUACUGCAUAUUGCGCUUUAUUCAUGUCUCUCAUUCCACCUGCAAAAACAUUGUAAAGUUUGUCACAAAGAGAUUUAUAUAUUUAUAAAUACUAAUAUUCUCUAUUCUAUGCUCUACUGCUUUUUUAUUGCCCAGAUUUUAGUUAGCCUUUGUUAAAUUGUCUUUUAUAUGUCAAUAUAUACAUAUGUCCCAAAUAAAAGUGUCUUGUAAAUUAUGUUUUUGUAAAGAAUUUUCUCCCAAAUCUCUUACAUGCUAACUGUAACGUGUUAUUUCUGCUAAAACCUGAACUUAAAUGUGUAUAUGGUGUUUAUCUGAUUUUCUAUUUGUUUUAGAUGCACAUAUCAAUUUGGAAUUCUGCCUCCAAGCCAGAAUUGCAGGAAUGCACCACGUGUUGCAGAAGAGUCUUUCACUGCCCUCUGUGCCCCACUUUCAGCCCUACUGUCAGGGCAAAGAUUGAGGAGCAAAUAAAUGGACACAUUAAAAAUGCUUUGCCUUUCAAAGACAAAAUGAUAUGCCGGUGCACUUUCACUGCCCUGUCUGUAACAUGACAAUCAUACAGCGUGGGGAUAUGGCAAGGCAAAUAUUGUCAUGUCAGCGUUUAGGACUGCUCCCCACUGAACUCUCCGUGGAGCCCCGCCUCUCUCCCGCUGCACUCUCUGUGGAGCCACAUCUCCCUCUCGAUGUCUCCAGCAUCUAAACCAUUUUCUGAAUCUUUGGUAGAACAUUCAUGUGUUCUACCCUCUGUGCUAAAUGAAACUGUGGCUUGUGGAAAGUCCAUGGAAAUGAAACGCCCUCACUGUGGUCUUAGUCUUCUUACAAAAAAAACUUCAAGGCUCACAUGAUGAGGAGGCAUUCAAACAGAUCAAUAGAUGUUUGCCUGGCCUGUCAUCUGCAGUGUUUUUGUGUAGAGGGACUUCUUCCUCUUUGUUUUUCAGUUUGCAGAGGACAUGGAGCUCUUUUUAAAAGCAUGUGCUGACGAGCAGGGACUAUGGGUCAAUGCGAUGUUUGACAUUUAAUCGACAGAUGAAGGCACUGGCUGUUUGUUUGUGUUUUUUAUGUGUUGUUUGUUUUUCAGUGUACAGAAUUCCAGUUAAGCUUAUUAUAAAAUGUUGUUCACUUGUUUCCAUGUCCAUACUAAUAGUA